rnacentral:lncRNA from 12 species
CUGGGAUCUCCUGAUUGGCGCCCUCUGCCUAUAUAAGGUCAGGAUGUGCAACGCUGGGGUCAGAGUCCUACCUUCUCCUGAGCUCUGACGCUUUCCUCUCUGUGCUCCCUGCUGAUCCAUUCACCAGCAUGAAGGUCCUGGCGUUGAUGGUCCUGGUGGCAGUCUCCACCUUCCUGGUCUCAGGCAAGAGCACAUUAGAUACUUCAUUUGAUACUGGUAAGUCUCUGCUUGUAUUUCAUCCCCUUCCUGUCACGACUGUCUUCCACCCCAGCCUUGCGUCAAAGCAGCCAUGGGGGAUAGAUCAUAGAGAUUCCAGUGCAGAAGCCUGGGGAGCCACCUUCCUGUUUCUAAAGUUCAUUGUGGACAUAGAGAAUGUGCUUAUUUCUUAUACAUUGUUAGAGAAUAUACAGUCUUUGGCAUGGAUUUAUAUAAAUUGUGGAUUAUUUAUUUUGUCAGUGGAAAUGACAAGGGAAUAUGAGUUUGUGGUCUAGGAUUUGGGGAGAUACAUGUAAAGACUUUCUGAUUACCAUAAAUUGAAGGGCUGAAUAUAUGGCUAGCGUGAAAAGAGGGGUUAAUAAAUCUCAGGAAGAUGGAAGAGAAGUAGAUGCU